rnacentral:lncRNA from 1 species
ACUUGAAAGACUCUCUUUCGCUUGUGUGAAGGGUCUUGCAUGAAUCUGGUGGUGUGGCCGUGUUUGCGCCCAGUGUUGAGGGUUCUGUCUGUCUCGGCUUCGCGAGGGGGCUGGGUACUGCAGUGUGUGAGGCAGCGGUUGGAGUACGAAAUAAAUGUGGAUUUGUUAUGUGACCAAGGAUCGGGGAACCAUCAAGAUGUGAUUGCGGGAGUUACGGAGGGUUUGACAUGGACCGUGGUAUUGAAGGUGCCAUCAGAGGCCGUGAUUUUGAUGUCUGGGGGAUUUACUGUGUAUUGGUUGA